UGGACGGCAAGGUGUCUUUUUGGCCACCGUAUAAAGACACCAAGCGGACGAAAAUUGCAGUCAUCCAAAGCGCUAUGCCAGAUGAGACCUGGGGAGAGUUUUUUGUGGAGGUGGUGAAAACCUUUGCCAAUUAUGAUGCAGCGCGUAUGAACCUGAAAAAAGCCCAAACCAGGAGCACCCUGACAUCAGAUGAUGAAGGGGGUAAAAGAAGGAGAAUCCCUUCCUCAAAGCUGAAAGAAACUGUGCCUGCAGAUGAGGGGGAGAAGCAUACAAG